GGUUGUAGCUCAGUGGUAGAGCGCUUGCCUAGGAUGUGUGAGGCCCUAGGUUCAAUACCUAGCACCA
rnacentral:tRNA from 1 species